rnacentral:lncRNA from 1 species
UGGAGCUGCACUCUUCAAAAGUAAUAUGAAUAGUUCCAGAUGAAUGAAGAGGCAAAAACAGAAAGAGGAAGAUUGCUUCUAACUCAUUUGCCACUGGUCUCCGCACCCCAGGAGGAUAGAAAUAACUUUAUUUCUGCUGCCUCAGGUUUUCUUCCUAUAAGUAGUUGAAGAAAAAUGGGAAAAAUGUGUUUUAUUUUCU